CCUGACUGCUAUCGGAUUGAUACUAAGCCAUGCGAGUCAUUGUAGCAAUACAAGGCAGACGGCUCAGUAACACGUAGUCAAUCUACCCUAUGGACGGGGAUAACCUCGGGAAACUGAGGAUAACACCCGAUAGAUCAUUAAUCCUGGAACGGUUUAUGGUCCAAACGAUUCGUCGCCGUAGGAUGGGACUGCGGCCUAUCAGCUUGUUGGUGAGGUAAUGGCCCACCAAGACUAUUACAGGUACGGGCUCUGAGAGGAGUAGCCCGGAGAUGGGUACUGAGACACGGACCCAGGCCCUAUGGGGCGCAGCAGGCGAGAAAACUUUGCAAUGUGCGAAAGCACGACAAGGUUAAUCCGAGUGAUUUCUGCUAAAGGAAUCUUUUGUCAGUCCUAGAAACACUGUUGAAUAAGGGGUGGGCAAGUUCUGGUGUCAGCCGCCGCGGUAAAACCAGCACCUCAAGUGGUCAGGAUGAUUAUUGGGCCUAAAGCAUCCGUAGCCUGUUUUGUCAGUUUUCGGUUAAAUCCAUACGCUCAACGUAUGGGCUGCCGGAAAUACUGCAAAACUAGGGAGUGGGAGAGGUAGACGGUACUCGGGAGGAAGGGGUAAAAUCCUUUGAUCUCUCGAUGACCACCUGUGGCGAAGGCGGUCUACCAGAACACGUCCGACGGUGAGGGAUGAAAGCUGGGGGAGCAAACCGGAUUAGAUACCCGGGUAGUCCCAGCUGUAAACUAUGCAAACUCAGUGAUGCAUUGGCUUGAUGCCAAUGCAGUGUUGCAGGGAAGCCGUUAAGUUUGCCGCCUGGGAAGUACGUACGCAAGUAUGAAACUUAAAGGAAUUGGCGGGGGAGCACCACAAGGGGUGAAGCCUGCGGUUC
rnacentral:rRNA from 1 species